rnacentral:rRNA from 1 species
UUAAAGGAAUUGACGGAAGGGCACCACCAGACGUGGAGCCUGCGGCUUAAUUUGACUCAACACGGGGAACCUCACCAGGCCAGGACACCGGAAGGAUUGACAGAUUGAGAGCUCUUUCUUGAUUCGGUGGGUGGUGGUGCAUGGCCGUUCUUAGUUGGUGGAGUGAUUUGUCUGCUUAAUUGCGAUAACGAACGAGAUCCUACCCUGCUAACUAGUCGAAUCCGCCAUCCACUGUGCAGGCGGCGACCAAAAAUCUUCUUAGAGGGACAGGCGGCUUCCAGCCGCACGAAGUGGGGCAAUAACAGGUCUGUAAUGCCCUUAGAUGUUCUGGGCAGCACGCGCGCUACACUGAAGGGAUCAACGUGUGUUUUCCUUGCUCGAGAGGGCCGGGUAACCCGUUGAAACUCCUUCGUGCUAGGGAUUGGGGCUUGCAAUUAUUCCCCACCAACGAGGAAUGCCUAGUAAGCGGGAAUCAUUAGUUCCUGCUGAUUAUGUCCCUGCCCUUUGUACACACCGCCCGUCGCUACUACCGAUUGAAUAUUUUAGUGAGGUCUUCGGACCAGCCCGCGGACCCUUUUCGGGGGGGCCGUAGAGCCGGAAAGAUGACCGAACUUGAAUAUUUAGAGGAAGUAAAAGUCGUAACAAGGUUUCC